rnacentral:rRNA from 1 species
GUGCGGGUGCUAAUACAUGCAAGUCGAGCGGACAGAUGGGAGCUUGCUCCCUGAUGUUAGCGGCGGACGGGUGAGUAACACGUGGGUAACCUGCCUGUAAGACUGGGAUAACUCCGGGAAACCGGGGCUAAUACCGGAUGGUUGUUUGAACCGCAUGGUUCAAACAUAAAAGGUGGCUUCGGCUACCACUUACAGAUGGACCCGCGGCGCAUUAGCUAGUUGGUGAGGUAACGGCUCACCAAGGCAACGAUGCGUAGCCGACCUGAGAGGGUGAUCGGCCACACUGGGACUGAGACACGGCCCAGACUCCUACGGGAGGCAGCAGUAGGGAAUCUUCCGCAAUGGACGAAAGUCUGACGGAGCAACGCCGCGUGAGUGAUGAAGGUUUUCGGAUCGUAAAGCUCUGUUGUUAGGGAAGAACAAGUACCGUUCGAAUAGGGCGGUACCUUGACGGUACCUAACCAGAAAGCCACGGCUAACUACGUGCCAGCAGCCGCGGUAAUACGUAGGUGGCAAGCGUUGUCCGGAAUUAUUGGGCGUAAAGGGCUCGCAGGCGGUUUCUUAAGUCUGAUGUGAAAGCCCCCGGCUCAACCGGGGAGGGUCAUUGGAAACUGGGGAACUUGAGUGCAGAAGAGGAGAGUGGAAUUCCACGUGUAGCGGUGAAAUGCGUAGAGAUGUGGAGGAACACCAGUGGCGAAGGCGACUCUCUGGUCUGUAACUGACGCUGAGGAGCGAAAGC